rnacentral:lncRNA from 1 species
CCCGCGGCCCUCCGGUUCCCCCGGGGCGGGGUCGCGGUCACAGCCGGUGUCACAAUCCCGGGGGUCCCGGUGCUGCUGUCCCGGGGGUCCCGCUCAGGACAGGUGUCCCCGUCCCGGUGGCUCAGGACGGUGCGGGUGUCGCAGUCCCGGUGGUGUCCCCGGUCACAGCAGGUGUCCCCAUCCCGGUCAGAGCAUUGUCCCCAUCCCGCUGUCUCUGGUCAGAACGGCUGUCCCGAUCCCGGUGUCCCCGGUAGGAGGCGGCGGCCAGCACGUCCUCCAGCGGCGCCGCCAGCGCCAGCCGCCCCUCGUACAUGAACUCGAGCAGCAGCGCGAAGGCCGGCGCGGUGACGAUGUCGCUGUUGAGCGCCACCACGGCGCCCCGCGCUCCUCCCGCGCCGCCCGGCUCGGCGUAGCACAGGUGGAAGAAGGAGCUGCAGGCGGCCAGCACGGCGCGGUGCGCGGGGAACGGCGCGGUGCCCACCAGCACCGUGCAGUCGCACAGGAUCCCCCGGGAGCGCUGCUCGCGCAGCCCCCGCAGCAGCUGCCGGCUGUGCUCGGGGAACUCCAUCGGGGCUGG